ensembl:lncRNA
UGGGGGUAGACAUGAAUCGUCUGAUAUGAGAACCAAUGAGAGAAACCACCAAUUCACCGGUUUAAGAUUGAUACCCGUGCACUGUAUCAGUGGGCUGAACUUCAAGUUGUACACAAUGAAUGUUUAUUUUAAUUACACCGUAGUUUUACUCAGCAACUCAAACCCCUUAAGACAUUUAAGUGAAUCAUUACAGUCAACAUGUUAACAAUAAUAACACUUAUUGUGUCCCUAAUGACUUUAUAAAACACAAGAGAAGCUCUUUAUAACAUGGCGCUGUUCCAAUUUAGCAAUUUUGAUGAUUCCCGCUACAGAGCACAGUGAAUAUAAAGCAUAAUAUAUACACAUUAAAUCCAAACCUUCGAGACAGUGAAGGUUUCUGACGGACAAACUCUCAGUCAAAAUAACAAAAGUUCUGUUUGUAACAUUCGUGCUUUUUGUCCUUUUCAGGCCUAAAUCUUAAGCAGUCCUUUCCCUGAUGACCAAGUCAAAAUGUCUGCUGGGACUUAAUGUACAGACCUCCAGACAUGAUGGGCAACGACUGUGAGUUGGUGAUGCAUUUAACCAGUGAUGGACGAAGCGCCCUACACGUUGUUGUUGUUGUUUUUACUCACCACCACCACACAAACCUCACAUUCUAUUUACUAUUUCACUAUUUACAUGUUUCUGAAUCUCUCGACAAGAGUGAGAGGAGAAGCGAGCGAUGUGAAAGAAGAGUCAAAUGAGGGAUCUACAGUAAGCAUUGGCCCAGUAUACAGUAGCAAUGCUGUGAAAAAUAAAAAUACGUGUAGUUCAAUAUAUACUUUACAUUUUUGUUGUAUCCUUCAGGCUGAACUCCUUAAUUAAUUACAUAUUUGACCAUUGGUACACAACAGAAAGAGGUGAUUCUUACCAUCAAGGUGAGAUUUCCCUGUAGCAUUACAAAAAAAAAUUCCAAAUAUUACAUAUGUAAGUUGUAAAGCUUGCAACCCAGAUACAAGCUCUCCGGUGUGAGGAUGUUGAACAGAUUUAAAGUCAUGACCUGCAGGCUUACACUCCUAUUACCGACCUUUAAAACCAGGACCCACUUUUAUGCUCCAAGUCAGACGGAAGACAAUAAACCGUGUGAGUAUCUUCACGCCAACGCUUUGUCUUGUCUGUGCUGGGAUCGUGAAAACUGGCUCAACAGGCCAAGGGAGUUUUCCAAUUGUGUUAGGAUGUAUUCAGUUCUUUCAGUUACUGUGCUUUUCACAGUCACACAUUUGCAUACUGAGUGACGCUGGCUGAAGAAAUGUUUGACUUAAAAAAACCAAUUUGCUUGUUGAGCGUCUUGCAGAGAUUUAGAUCACAAAGAGAUGGAUGACACUGUUGUGGCUGUGUUGUGAAUGUGCAGCUGGAGUCACCAAAUCAACAGGAUCAUUGCGCACACUAAGCAUUGUCCACGACUCCAUCUCUGCAAGCUACCUAAUCCUUUGUUGUGCUUUCCACUUCAUGUGCGAGGUGCACAUUAACAUGUUUGACAUUUGACCUGUCUCGGGAUGGAGAGUUGAAAAACAUACUUUAAGCAUACUGGUUUAGCCUUGUGUAGUUGAUUGAUUCUGGGUGGCUCUUUGAUGCAGCUUCUCCACCGAAAAGAACUUGGGACUUAAAAUUGGUCAUCCAAAAUGCUCAAGCCUACGGAAUUUAAAUGAGAUUGUUAAGCAAAGACACCGAACGGAAAAUGAAAAUGAUGUGAAGAUAAUUCAAAAAGAUUAUUGUUCAGAUUGCUGAAAAAAAUACAGUACACAAUUACUGUAUUAUGAUUCACAGUGAAAAUAUAUUUUAUUAUUUGCAUAAUACGAUUCACCUGGGAAUUAAUCCGCACCACAAUGCUUUACAGAUCUACAUCAAUGAAGUUAUACGAGAG